rnacentral:rRNA from 1 species
ACUGAACGCUGGCGGCAGGCCCAACACAUGCUAGUCGAACGAGUGGCGGACGGGUGAGUAACGUCUGGGAAACUGCCUGAUGGAGGGGGAUAACUACUGGAAACGGUAGCUCAUACCGCAUACCAUCGGAGGUGCCCAGCUGGGUUUAGCUAGUCGGUGGGGUAACGGCUCACCUAGGCGACGAUCCCUAGCUGGUCUGAGAGGAUGACCAGUGACUCUGGCUCGGAGGCACGGUCCAGGCUCCUACGGGAGUCGGCAGUGGGGAAGAUGGCACAAGGGGCGCGAGCCUGAUGCAGCCAUGCCGGGUGUAUGAAGAAGUCCUUCGGGUUGUAAAGUACUUACAGCGGGGUGGCGUUGCCCGCAGAAGGAGCACCGGGUGACGCCGUACCAGCAGCCGCGGUAAUAC